AAAUUUAUUGCCAGCGUUUGUAGAUUCAGUUCUAAUUAUUUAAAGCGUUUCGUUGUGCGAGAGUGUGGUUGACGGCGUACCUUGUUGGCCAAGGUGACAGUGUUGUAGAUCGAGUCCUGGAAAGAGAAAGAAAAACUGUUUGCGGCUGGUACGGCUCACGACGUUGGGUGAUUUAGGAGUCGAACGGGAAACCAAUCCUUUUAGCGAUUACUUGCCAACUACAUCCCGGUGUGAUCCGCUCAAGAGAAGGUGUCCGAUAUUCUCCAUAACA